ACAAAACAAAACAAAAAAUUUUUGUGAGUUUCCUAAAUUGUUGGCAUACGUUCAUAUAAAUUUGUUCAGGCUAGGCACACACACACACACACACACACACACACACACACACACACACACACACUCACACAAAUUGAUGUUUGUUUCACUAUAUUAGUGAAGACAUUGCAUAGACUUUUAUUGACUUUUAUAUCAAGUAAAAUAUAUUUUAUAUCAUCUAACCCUAAACAACAAUGUGAAAAACACUAGAUUUAAAUAAAAAAUGCUUACUAGUGAGUAAAAUGUCCUCACUAGUUGCUUGUCAUGAUAUUUCACUAUAUAAAUGAAGACAUUUGGCUUUUGCAAUUUUCUCAAGUGUAGCUAGCUAACCUGUACACACACACACACACACACACACAAACACACUAUUUACCACAAUCCAGAUUCUGAAGCCCUCUCUCACUGUUUUGGAAAAUAAUUUUUUUGUCUAACAUGAACUUUACUAAACUAUCCCAAAUCCACUUGCAGUCGUAAACGUGAAAACUAUUGUCCAGGUGCACACAAAUACACACUCCCGAUACCUCACCCCUCCCUGUCCCCUCAAUCGGCUCACAACGGCAUUGUAAUCGAGCGUGUCAUUCACGGUUGUGGGUGGGUUUGAGCUGUGAGUCAGAUUUGUACCUGCUCAGGGCAGUGAAACCGCAUUUGAGACACAUGAAAAGAAACAGACAAUUCAUAUGGGUGAUGUGACAGGUGUAAAUGUGUGCAGACGUGCCUGAUUAUGUGUUAAAGGACUAUGACAUGACACACAUCCCACGUCUGACUUGCUGCCGGAUGAAACAAAGGGAAAUUUGUCAAUAGCCUCUGUGUUGAUGUUGUUUGAGUAUGUUGAACUGUUGUGCAAGAUUGUAGGUUUCUAGUAGGCGUUCUUUUUGUGCCACUGUAUGCAAAUGAAUUGGGGGCGAAUCCCGUUGGAAGUAGCUGCUCAUUUGCAUGUAUUGGAGCUUAUUAGGUCUUAAUUGCUUUACAGUGUAUUUAUUGUAAAUCUUAAUAGUGUUGUUUAAUAUAUUUUAUAUUUAUGUGACAUACUACCACAGCUAAAAAUGUUCAAAUUAAACUUUUUUUUGUGUGUG